AUGGCGGCCGCGCCCGGUGACAUUCUACCUCCCUUGGCCACCCCUGCUCUUCUUCCACUAGUCAAAAGGGUGAAUGAAGAGCCGAGUUUUCCCCAAGCCUCGCCAGUGAUUCCGGCCAUGACGGUGGAAGACUGGUCCAAAUGGUCCACGCUUCCGCCGGACCUCGUCCGCCGCAUCGCUGACUCCCUACUAUCGACCAACGACCUCGACUACUACAUUCACUUUCACGCUGUGAGCCCCAGCUCACGCACCGCUACAGAUGUCCCCAUGAGCAACACCUUCGACCCUCGCCUCCGCCCGCACCGGUGGAUUGUCCUUGAUGAGGACUUCCAGAGCAAAGGGAAGUUGCUCCUUUUGAACACUCAGAGCGGCCGCUUCCUUCAUAGGAAUAUCCAGCUGCUUAGCGACCACUAUGUCGUAGCCACCACUCGCAAUGGCUACUUGGUUCUGGCAAACAAAAUGCCUCCUCACUUGGCCAACAUCCUCAACCCGACCUCUCACGGGCGUCAUCAUCCGUUUCGUGGCACCUGUGCCCCCAGAGGUGGGAUCCGCUGUUGUCGUUUCCUUUGCCGGCUCUGCUUUUGGGCUCAGCUUGUUCAACGACUCAUCUCACACGAUUUACACGGCCUACCCUGA
rnacentral:rRNA from 1 species